GUGCUUGCUUUGGCAGCACAUAUAUUAAAACUGGAACAAUACAGAGAUCAGCCUGGCUCCUGUGCAAAAAUGACACACAAAUUUGUGACACAUUCCAUAUUUUU